GAGGGCUCAGUUUUGCCUUUUAUCUUGAAGCCCAACACUCACGUCUCUUGCUGCAUAACCUACCCAUCGCGAUGUAAUUGAACUGCCCUGGUUAUCACUCAUCAGAAUGACCAUCCGAGGCGCAGAACAUCCAACAUUAGCCAUGAAUUGAAUAGGCUGCAAGAGAAGUAAGGGUGAGAGCUCUUAAGGGCAUCUCCAACGCCGGCACCCAUUUGGGGCCUAUUUAGUACCCACAUGCCACGGCUGUCUUGAUUGCUCAACACAUAAUUAUUUCAGCCGCAGGCAUCAUCAUCGCCCUUUUUUUUUAAAAAAAAAAAGGUCAAACCCCCCAAGCAACAUGACCAUAACAUCCAUCAUCCAUCCAUCCAUUCAUCCAUCAGACUAGCCAUAGUGGUGAGUAACUUAGACAAUCUCAGGAGCUGCUCAUACCUGGCCUUGACCGACCAAACCUCCUGGUGUGGACGACACAUCAGACAACGCCUUACGGUUCCCAGCCACGCCACAACCAAAUCCAAGGCAAUGGACUGGCGGCGGCUGGCAGCACCGUAGAGACCGGGAACUGACAUGGCAGCUACCCGGACGAUGGGUCAGCGAGUCGGCAAUGAAAGCUUGACUGAUUUGUUUAAGGGAGAGA
rnacentral:rRNA from 1 species